AAGGGUGCGUAGGCUGACUUUUAAGUCAGGCGUGAAAUCCAAUGGCUUAACCAUUGAACUGCGCUUGAAACUGGGAGUCUAGAGUUCAGAAGGGGCAGAUGGAAUUAGUGGUGUAGGGGUAAAAUCCGUAGAUAUCACUAGGAAUAUCAAAAGCGAAGGCGAUCUGCUGGGAUGAUACUGACGCUGAGGCACGAAAGCGUGGGGAGCAAACAGGAUUAGAUACCCUGGUAGUCCACGCCCUAAACGAUGAAUGCUAGUCGUCGGGGAGCUCGUCUCUUCGGUGAUGCACUUAACAGAUUAAGCAUUCCGCCUGGGGAGUACGGUCGCAAGAUUAAACCUCAAAGGAAUAGACGGGGACCCGCACAAGUGGUGGAGCAUGUGGUUUAAUUCGAAGAUACACGAAGAACCUUACCUGGCCUUGACAUGGUAGGAACCCUUAAGAGAUUAGGGGGUGCUAGCUUGCUAGAACCUACACACAGGUGCUGCACGGCUGUCGUCAGCUCGUGUCGUGAGAUGUUGGGUUAAGUCCCGCAACGAGCGCAACCCUCGUCGUUAGUUGCUAACAGUUCGGCUGAGCACUCUAACGAGACUGCCUUCGUAAGGAGGAGGAAGGUGAGGACGACGUCAAGUCAUCAUGGCCCUUA
rnacentral:rRNA from 1 species